rnacentral:sRNA from 1 species
CACACGCAGGGUUCGGGCCCGCCGGGGGAGACAUCCCCGUCCGGCCCCUCCGGUGUCCAUGGGAUCGACCCAUGGAUCGCUAACCCUGCGGCGGAUCAACCGGAAAAGGAGACAGGA